CCGCCGGGGGGCUCCCUGUGGGCACCCCUUCUUUUUGUUUGUGGGGUCUCCCGUUAAGCAUGAGGUGCGAUCGGUUGCACAGUGGAUGGGCCGGGUCUCGGAGUGCCUGGGGGUUGCGACUGGUUUCUUGCAGAUUUUCCAGGAAGAAUCUAUACAGUGCUAGGCACGCUGGGGCUGUGUUAAGAGAAGGGUACAGCUUUUCAAAAUCAUAUGUCGUCAGGAUUUCAUCGCCUUUUAGAUUGACAGCCUUGAUUGUCUCUACAAACUCUUUAGUUGACUGAACAGUAUAGUUGUACCCUUUAAGCUUCUGGUUGAUCCAUGCCGCAAUCGUUUUCUCCAGGUUGUAAGUCGGCGACCCUCGUUUUUCCACUAUAGGUCUGAAGGCGAGAGGCGUCUUAUGUGUUUUUGCAUAAGCGAAAAGUCGAGGGCACAGGGGGUUUGAGGGUCCGGUCACUUUCAUGAAGUCCGGUAUGGCUUUAUUUCUUAAUAGUUUCUUUACAGCUUUGUCCAGGGCUUCCGUUGGAUCUUUCGGCAGUUCUUCCGCCCUAGAGUCUGAUAUAUAGGUGUUAAGGUAUUGCUCAUAAACUGUCCUUUUCAUUAAGACAACUUUCUUGGAUUUAUCGUCCCUCGUUAGAGUUAUUUGGUUUUCUUUCAUCCAAAUGCGGGCCUUUCUUACUAAGUCAUUAUCUGUUCCUAUUCUGCCACGUCUUCCUUUGUAAUACAUGGUUUGUUGUUGGACCUCCUCUACAAAGCGCCAUCUGAAUCUUUCCUUCUCCAGGUCAGACAUGCCCGUAAUUAGCCUUUCAAAUGGUGGGAUGAGAUCUUCCAUGCUGUUGAGAGUCUCUAUUGCGCAGGAUGGGCCUUUUUCUAGGAGUCUGCGGACGUAAUCCGGUACUUGUAGGUCCCCUAUUAUUAUAGCGACUUUGUCUAGUGCCAUUUUACAACCGGUUCGGUUUCGUCAUAGUUGUUUUCGAAAUAUCCAUUUCAGCUUUUUUAUUAUUUACUCAUUCUUAGAAUAAGUUAUUAAAGUUUGA
rnacentral:lncRNA from 1 species